UGGAAUAACGACGACUUGUAUGAUCUUGUGAAUUUUCAGAAUUGCCUUUUCUGCAGAGUCGGAAUGACAUAUAAUGCUUUGUGCACCAGUAAGGUUGAUGGAUCUUUUGUGGUACAAAAUGUGCCAGUUAUUGAAAACUUGAAUUUAACCCCGUAUUAUGAAGAGUAUAAAAGACUUGGCUUUGGCUCUGUACUUGAAGAACGUAUAGGGAGUAAAAGUGGAUCUUGGAGGCUUUCUAUGGUCAAUCUUUCGUACGCAGCCUGUCGAAGUUACCCGGCUGUUUUAGUGGUGCCAUAACACGUGACCGAUGACUCUUUGUUUCGCUUGUCUAAAAACCAUCGCCAUAUGCGUUUUCCUGUUGCGACGUGGAGACAUAAAGUCAAUAAAUUCGCCGUUUUAUUGCGAUCUUCUGCCAUUGAACGAAGCUCUGUGGCAUCCAUCAUUCGCUCUGGUGAGGCUGCAAGUGGUGGAAGCACUGACGCAAUACGUUCAUCCAACGUGGAGCAAGAUAAAUAUUUAUCUGCCGUUGUGUCUUCAAAUCCUGUAUCGUGGAAUAAAGCAGAGGCGAAACAUCGUUCACUGGCAGCCAACGUCAGCAUGUCUAAAGCAACGAUGAAUCUACGAUCAAAUGACAAAGCAUCUAAACGUGUUUCUGUUGUGGAUUCCGUUGACAAAGCAAUAACUGAGCAAGGAUGGGAGCCUGCCGCAUUGUACGUUUUUUAAUCUUUCUUGGUGUUUUUAUUAUCUGUUUUAUUAUUUUAGCGAUAGUCAAUGGCGAUAGUAGUGUAAGCUCUCAAUACCCAAGCACAAGAUCUUACGUUUUGUCAUAUCCAGUUCCUUUGAAAUGGAUUGUUUUUUUUUCAUUUCCAUUUUAAUAUGCAUAAAUAAAUAUUCUCCACUCCCC